UGUAUCGCGGAACGGACAGUUGGAAGUUUUGAAAAAUGUAUCGCAUGUUCGUACGUUAGUAAUACUUUAAAACGAGAACCGUUAGUCGUUGUCUUUCGUCUCUCCGAACCGUUGAAAGAGAAUGUUAUACGCGAAUAUCGCCGGAAGUUCCGAAAGUAAAUCUCGCGCGUUUAUCGUCACGAAAUAACUAAUAAUUGUUCAAAAUAAGUAUGUCACGAAACAGGUAGUCAGGAUUUCCAAGAAAAAUAUCGCGCGUUCGUCCGACGUACGUGUUAUUGCCAUAAGCAAAUAUUCGAAUGUACGUGUUAUAGUCAUAAGCAAAUAUUCGAAUGUACGUGUUAUUGCCAUAAGCAAAUAUUCGAAGUGUCCCGACGAAGUAACCAGAAGUCAAAAUGCUCAAUAUCAGUGUCAGUGUACGAACUAAUAUCAAGGUUAAGUGAAUAUUUAAUGACCUCCAAGUGAAUAUUCAAAGUGCCACGAUGGAAAACCAAAAACUAAGAUGUUCAGUUGCGAAGCUAGGACGCAGAACGCAGAAUAAGAAUUUCUACUCACCGGGCGAGAUGCCAAGCUUCGCAUGCAUGCUACUGGGGCUUCUGUGAUCGGGGGUGGUAACAGGGGCUGCUAUGGGUGGCGACAGGUGGGGAUGUGCCAGUGGCCCACCACCUGUCGUCGUCGUGGUAGUCGUUGUGGCACAGGGAUUUAAGGGUGAUGUCCUCUUGAAAGACUGGUCGGUCCGCCACGCGACCUCACUGUCGCCUAUCCAGACUUUACCUGCGCAAAUCGGUCGAACGGGAAUUAGAAACGCGGAACGAAUACGGCAGCAGCAUUAUUGGUCUGGGUUCCGGUAGUAGGAGGGUGCGUCUGGCGGGGUUGCGAGUAAGGAGGGACGAGGUGAGCCCCAUGGCAAGGCUGUUGAAGGAGGCGAGACGGGCGGCCACCUUGCAUUCGGGAGUAUUUCACUUUAACGGCCCUCCAGGGGAUUGGCUGACCCCGGCCGAAGACCCUUCACCGUUUCAGCAUAAUGGACCUCUACAUUACUUAUUCGUCCUGGCCAAUGUCCUGCUAGCGGCGUUCGCGACUACGGCGAGGUCAGCGAGGACGAAGCCGCUCGUUUCCACGUUUCGCCAUUUACGGAGAGCGAUUAAUCGCACGUCUCGGGAACGAGGAUAUAGAGUCGGACCACUACUAUUAUUUCAAUUUGUAAGAGAUCAAGCUGUAGAAAUUGCUACCUUGACAAUUAGAAUCAUUAAUAAAGGAGAUAGAGUAGUGUAUUGAACCUGGUUCACUUAGUUAGUAAAGAAAUCGCUCAGCUUUAAAGUUCCCGAUUUCAUUUGUCGGUCCAGUUUGCCUUGAUAUAUUUUCUAUCUCUCCUUACAAAUUAAAUGAAAAAUUAUCCAUGAAUUUAAAUUGAUAUUACACAUCUUGAAACUUAAGCGCGUACCAACAAUAUAUAGAUAUAAACAUCUUUAGACGUCAUAGAAUCUUUCUCAAAAAAUAUCGCGCAUAUUUUCUAAUGUCUCCAAUUUUUCCAACCAAUCACAUAUUCCUGCCUUCUUCUCUAGUAACGACGACGACGACGACGAGACCAUCUCUGCUGAUUCCAACUUCCGGGUACCGUCCGAUAGCACGGAAGAGCAACAUGCCCCAAGCAAACCGCUUUCCCUGCGGCACUCGAAAGAAUUGAAAAUUCCUGCUCGUCCAAGGGUUGAGGAGGUCGACGAUGGAGGGUGGUGACUGAGGGGAAGAGGGCGGCAGGCGGAUGAAGAAAGGGGGGACGAGGAAGCGAACGCGGAUAAAGCGCUCGAUAUAAGAUUAAUGCUAGAGGCCGCCGACCGGUCCCGCCGCACGUCGAGGGCCGUUCGACUAUAUACGACGGCAAUGGUGAUUCCUCUUUGAAGGUAGAACCGUGGGCAGUGGCCAAAUUGAAUCCUGCUUAGGACAGAAGAAGCGUCGAGAGAACAGCAAGACGAGAGAGAGAGAGAGAGAGAGAGAGAGAGAGAGAGAGAGAGAGAGAAAGCCGGCCCGGAGCCCUUUCUCCAAUAAAUAAAUCGCCGGCCGUCCGUGGGUCUCCGAUUUUCAGCUCGAGCGUACGGAUUAAAAUCGACCGGCCGAUUUGUAGCGACGAAACGCCGGAGGUAAUUGCACGAUUAUCUUGUUCCCGCAUCCUCUCCCGAUUUCGUGAUUUUCCUGCUGCAAUAGGAAGUUGCAUAACAGAAAAGUAAUUAUCCAUAUCACGCCACUUUCUCUCAGACAUGCUCUCCAUAUCAUUAUAUAAGUGCAUUAUUUAAAAUAAAAUAAUAAAAAAAAAAAAUAUUUCGAAAGCUCUCAAGAUAAUUAAAGGUGAUAUACAGUAAUCUUGUUUUGAUGAAUUUUAUGUAUCUUAAUUUUCCGAUGUGUGUGUGUGUGUGUGUGUAUGCAUUUUAGAGAUCACGAAUUUUCAUUUUUAACUUUAUAUUUUUAACUUUAUAUGUUGUGUAAGAUUUUAUAAGAUCAAUAUAAAAAACUAGUCAUUGUUUCAGGUUACUUCGUGUACAAUGCUAAAUAUAAUUAAAUGCUGUGAAUAUAUACUUUUAAAUGCUGUGGAUACACGUAUGCAUCCAAAAAAUGUUCGGCGUAGAUUAUGGACACAUAUAAACCUCAAAAUUCCUUCAACUUAUACUCUAAACAGUUGCAACAGUUAUCAACUGUUGCGAUGGGCAUUUAUAUUGACGUACAUAAUUUGGACGUAUAAAUGCACGACAGUCCAAAGUCCAAAUUCCGUUCUUAAUAAUCGUUUUUAGAAUGGUCUCUCAAAAGAUCAAAUACAACACUAAGGAAUGAAAUAAAUAAAUGAGAAUAUUCCUACAUUACUCAUUAAUCCCAAAGUUCGAUUGAUAAGAAAUCUAAUAAAGAGAAACAACAGUAGAAUAACAAAUAGUUAACCAAUAUUUGUCAAUAAUACAUCCCUCGAUGCAUUUCAUCGAAGAAGUAUAUUAUGUGCAAAGGCAAACGAACUCAAUUCAAUCGUCUUCUGAUUAAACAUUAUCGGGAAUAAUAAAACAAUGAUAUCGAUUACCAAAACAUGACGAUCGCUUCCACCGUCAUCACGGUUUAAUUGCUUUUCAUAUUAAUAAUAUAUGUUAUAUAUUAUUGCAACAUAAUUUUGCUUGAAGAAAUACGACACAUCUAAAGUACAACUUUUCUUAUUAUCUUAUUAUCUUAUUAUCUUAUUAUCUUAUUAUCUUAUUCUUAUUAUCUUAUUAUCUUAUUAUCUUAUUCUUAUUAUCUUAUUAUCUUAUCAUCUUAUAUAUAUAUAUAUAUAUAUAUAUAUAUAUAUAUAACAGAAAAUUUAUAUUAUCUAUUUCGGAACUAAAAUGAGAACUUAUCUAUACGUAUAUAUUGACUUAAUCGCUUUACUAUCUUAGAUUAAAAUAUCAAUAGUCAUAUGUUAGUAUUCUAGAAACUAUAUAUCGGUACUUUCCGGAGACUAAGUCCAGCGGAAAAAAACUUAACGGCACACAUACAUAAAUGUAACUUUUAUAAACUGUAAUAUUGUUAAUGAUUAUUUUAAAGAUAAUAAUAUGAUAUAAUAUAAGCAAUACUAUAAUAA